CGGGUGAGUAAUGCGUGACCAACCUGCCCCAUGCUCCAGAAUAGCUCUUGGAAACGGGUGGUAAUGCUGGAUGCUCCAACUUGACGCAUGUCUUGUUGGGAAAGUGUUUAGUGGCAUGGGAUGGGGUCGCGUCCUAUCAGCUUGUAGGCGGGGUAAUGGCCCACCUAGGCUUCGACGGGUAGCCGGCCUGAGAGGGCGGACGGCCACAUUGGGACUGAGAUACGGCCCCCAGACUCCUACGGGAGGCAGCAGCC
rnacentral:rRNA from 1 species